CAGGCUUAACACAUGCAAGUCGAGGGGCAGCAUGGUCUUAGCUUGCUAAGGCCGAUGGCGACCGGCGCACGGGUGAGUAACGCGUAUCCAACCUGCCUUACACUCUUGGACAGCCUUCUGAAAGGGAGAUUAAUACAAGAUGUUAUCAUGAGUAAGCAUUUUCGCAUGAUUAAAGGUUUACCGGUGUAAGAUGGGGAUGCGUUCCAUUAGAUAGUAGGCGGGGUAACGGCCCACCUAGUCUUCGAUGGAUAGGGGUUCUGAGAGGAAGGUCCCCCACAUUGGAACUGAGACACGGUCCAAACUCCUACGGGAGGCAGCAGUGAGGAAUAUUGGUCAAUGGACGAGAGUCUGAACCAGCCAAGUAGCGUGAAGGAUGAAGGUUCUAUGGAUUGUAAACUUCUUUUAUACGGGAAUAAACGAAUCCACGUGUGGAUUUUUGCAUGUACCGUAUGAAUAAGGAUCGGCUAACUCCGUGCCAGCAGCCGCGGUAAUACGGAGGAUCCGAGCGUUAUCCGGAUUUAUUGGGUUUAAAGGGAGCGUAGAUGGGUUGUUAAGUCAGUUGUGAAAGUUUGCGGCUCAACCGUAAAAUUGCAAUUGAUACUGGCAGUCUUGAGUACAGUUGAGGUAGGCGGAAUUCGUGGUGUAGCGGUGAAAUGCUUAGAUAUCACGAAGAACUCCGAUUGCGAAGGCAGCUUACUAACCUGUAACUGACAUUGAUGCUCGAAAGUGUGGGUAUCAAACGGGAUUAGAUACCCUGGUAGUCCACACGGUAAACGAUGAAUACUCGCUGUAGGCGAUAUACAGUCUGCGGCCAAGCGAAAGCAUUAAGUAUUCCACCUGGGGAGUACGCCGGCAACGGUGAAACUCAAAGGAAUUGACGGGGGCCCGCACAAGCGGAGGAACAUGUGGUUUAAUUCGAUGAUACGCGAGGAACCUUACCCGGGCUUAAAUUGCAACCGAAUAUGGCGGAAACGCUAUAGCUAGCAAUAGCGGUUGUGAAGGUGCUGCAUGGUUGUCGUCAGCUCGUGCCGUGAGGUGUCGGCUUAAGUGCCAUAACGAGCGCAACCCUUGCCGAUAGUUACUAACAGGUCAUGCUGAGGACUCUGUCGGGACUGCCAUCGUAAGAUGUGAGGAAGGUGGGGAUGACGUCAAAUCAGCACGGCCCUUACGUCCGGGGCUACACACGUGUUACAAUGGGGGGUACAGAGGGCUGCUACCACGCAAGUGGAUGCCAAUCCCAAAAACCUCUCUCAGUUCGGAUUGAAGUCUGCAACCCGACUUCAUGAAGCUGGAUUCGCUAGUAAUCGCGCAUCAGCCACGGCGCGGUGAAUACGUUCCCGGGCCUUGUACACACCGCCCGUCAAGCCAUGGGAGCCGGGGGUACCUGAAGUGCGUAACCGCAAGGAGCGCCCUAGGGUAAAACUGGUGACUGGGGCUAAGUCAUAACAA
rnacentral:rRNA from 1 species